rnacentral:rRNA from 1 species
UACGUAGGGUGCAAGCGUUGUCCGGAAUUAUUGGGCGUAAAGAGCUCGUAGGCGGUGUGUCACGUCGUUCGUGAAAACCUGCAGCUUAACUGUGGGCGUGCGGUCGAUACGGGCAUCACUGGAGUUCGGCAGGGGAGACUGGAAUUCUCGGUGUAGCGGUGAAAUGCGUAGAUAUCGAGAGGAACACCUGCGGCGAAGGCGGGUUGCUGGGCCGACACUGACGCUGAAGCGCGGAAAGCCCAGGGGAGCGAACGGG